rnacentral:rRNA from 1 species
CCUACGGGGGGCUGCAGUGAGGAAUCUUCUGCAAUGCGCGCAAGCGUGACAGAUUGAGUCAGAGUGCUUUUCAUAUGAAAAGCUUUUGCCAAAUGUAAAAAGUUUGGCGAAUAAGGACUGGGUAAGACGGGUGCCAGCCGCCGCGGUAAUACCCGCGGUCCAAGUCGCAGCCAUUAUUAUUGGGUCUAAAACAUCCGUAGCUUGCUUAGUAAGUUUCUUGUGAAAUUCCAUGUCUUAAAUAUGGAGCGGGCAAGAAGUACUGUUAAGCUAGAGACUGGAAGACGUAAGAAGUACGUUUGGAGUAGCGGUAAAAUGUGUUAAUCCCAGACGGACUAACAACAGCGAAGGCAUCUUACGAGGACAGUUCUGACAGUAAGGGAUGAAGGCUAGGGGCGCGAAAGGGAUUAGAUACCCCGGUAGUC